rnacentral:tRNA from 1 species
UGGGAUGUGGCCUAGUGGUAUAGCACUUGCCUAGCAUGUACUAGGUCCUGGGUUUAAUCCCCAGCACCACAA